GAGAGAGAGAGCUACAUUAGGUCAAGGGGUCUGAGAAAGGGAGAACUUGUUGAGACGCCAAUAAACUAAUGUCUGAUACAUUAGAGAUGUCUGAGUGACCCAUGCUCACCUUAGUACAGGUGUAGUACAGGUAGAACUCACCUUAGUACAGGUGUAGUACAGGUAGAACUCACCUUAGUACAGGUGUAGUACAGGUAGAACUCACCAUAGUACAGGUGUAGUACAGGUGUAGUACAGGUAGAACUCACCUUAGUACAGGUGUAGUACAGGUGUAGUACAGGUAGAACUCACCUUAGUACAGGUGUAGUACAGGUAGAACUCACCAUAGUACAGGUGUAGUACAGGUAGAACUCACCUUAGUACAGGUGUAGUACAGGUAGAACUCACCAUAGUACAGGUGUAGUACAGGUAGAACUCACCAUAACAGGUGUAGUACAGGUGUAGUACAGGUAGAACUCACCAUAACAGGUGUAGUACAGGUAGAACUCACCAUAACAGGUGUAGUACAGGUAGAACUCACCAUAGCAGGUGUAGUACAGGUGUAGUACAGGUAGAACUCACCAUAGUACAGGUGUAGUACAGGUAGAACUCACCUUAGUACAGGUGUAGUACAGGUAUAGUACAGGUAGAACUCACCAUAGUACAGGUGUAGUACAGGUAUAGUACAGGUAGAACUCACCAUAACAAGUGUAGUACAGGUAUAGUACAGGUAGAACUCACCUUAGUACAGGUGUAGUACAGGUGUAGUACAGGUAUAGUACAGGUAGAACUCACCAUAACAAGUGUAGUACAGGUAUAGUACAGGUAGAACUCACCUUAGUACAGGUGUAGUACAGGUAGAACUCACCUAUAGUACAGGUAGAACUCAGUCAGUUCAUUAAUAUUUCCAUUUAAACCCAAAUCAAACGAUACCUCUGACUCACCUGUACCUGCCUGUUGAUGGCCUUUAAUAAGAGGCUCCACCCAGUGGUCAGACUCAGGACUGCAGGUCCAUUCAUGUCCCCAGUGGUCUUCUGUGUGCCUGACUGAGUCUGGUGUGUGUGUGUGUGUGUGUGUGUGUGUGUUGUGUGUGUGUGUGUGUGUGUGUGUGUGUGUGUGUGUGUGUGUGUGUGUGUGUGUG